rnacentral:rRNA from 1 species
AUGAAACACGGAGCAAUCUGUGGCUUACAGAUGGGCCUGCGGCGCAUUAGCUAGUUGGUGAGGUAACGGCUCACCAAGGCGACGAUGCGUAGCCGACCUGAGAGGGUGAUCGGCCACACUGGGACUGAGACACGGCCCAGACUCCUACGGGAGGCAGCAGUAGGGAAUCUUCCGCAAUGGACGCAAGUCUGACGGAGCAACGCCGCGUGAGUGAUGAAGGUUUUCGGAUCGUAAAGCUCUGUUGCCAGGGAAGAAUGCUAAGGAGAGUAACUGCUCUUUAGGUGACGGUACCUGAGAAGAAAGCCCCGGCUAACUACGUGCCAGCAGCCGCGGUAAUACGUAGGGGGCAAGCGUUGUCCGGAAUUAUUGGGCGUAAAGCGCGCGCAGGCGGUCAUUUAAGUUUGGUGUUUAAUUCCGGGGCUCAACCCCGGGUCGCACUGAAAACUGGGUGACUUGAGUGCGGGAGAGGAAAGUGGAAUUCCACGUG